AUACGGAGGGUGCAAGCGUUACUCGGAAUCACUGGGCGUAAAGCGCGCGCAGGCGGGCUGAUAAGUUGGAUGUGAAAGCCUACGGCUCAACCGUAGAACUGCAUCCAAAACUGUCAGUCUAGAGUGUGGGAGAGGAAGAUGGAAUUAGUUGUGUAGGGGUAAAAUCCGUAGAGAUAACUAGGAAUACCAAAAGCGAAGGCAAUCUUCUGGAACACUACUGACGCUGAGGCGCGAAGGCGUGGGGAGCAAACAGUAUUAGAAACCCCUGUAGUCC
rnacentral:rRNA from 1 species